UGUACACAAAAAUAGACAGUAUUCAGGCGGACAUUUUGGCAUCCAACAAAGUCAAUGCUACCACAGACAGCUGUGACUGCAUCAACAACAGCUCCAUCAGCUUCUCCACGGGCUUCGAUGAUGUGAAUCAGAGGGAAUGCGCCAACGACUUUGAGAAACUUCAUUCAGAGUCCAAGGAGUGACAGAGCCCUGUAGCAAACCAGGGAAGCUAAGGUGGUGCCUUGUGGAAGCCUGCCUGCCAGGAGGGUGGCACUGAGGAUGAUGCCGUUUGGCUCUGGGUGGGAAGCUGAGUAUUAGAAAAUGCAGUGGGAAAGGGGGAAGCUGUUUCUGCAGAGGAUCUAAUAAAGAAGUCUUGAUGU
ensembl:processed_transcript